CGAAGAAUAUCGUCCACAUGGGCGCGUGUCGAAAUCCAAGCCACGGAACACAAUUUUAUUCGAAAGGCGUUCAAUGGCUCCCCCAAAAAGUUUUUUGAGAGAAGCUGAUCGGAAAAGGAGGUGCAUUACAACUUGCGGUAUCCACCUUGAUUGUUGCGGCUACAGUGUCGCCAAAUCAAGUAGCCAAUGACAGCAACAAGAGCAAGCCCAGCCAAUGAACACCCAACUGCAAUGGCUACUGUGUGACUUUCAUGUUGCCUAUUCGGCUGCUUUGUUUUCGGUGGACUUGUAGACGGAGAUGCAGUUGGAGUCGUAGGGUGAACACAAUUUGUCACUGUAGAGGAGUAGAAUAAUAGUAGAAUCAAAUCAGAUUCUUAAAUGAGAAACAUAUUGUACUCUUGAUAGAAGGGGUAAGUUGGUAGACACCAUGGUGUUGCAGCAGCAGGAGAGUAUAACAGGGUAAGUUAGUAUUAACUGGCUUUUAAAAAUCUUUUUUAUGGUGGCCAAUUUACGUUGUCAACUCAGUUGAUAAUAGUACAUUACCCUGUAACUUGUCAACUCUUACACUAAGGGUGGGCUGAAUUGCUAUUAUUUCAUAUUCAAGUAAAUUAGCCUUUUUUGACCUCCACAACAUGUUUAAAAACAUUACAGAAUUUUCACUGAAAAGCAAGGCCAAGUAGGCCAAUUAAAAUGUACAUAAAGGAAUAGCAAAUCAUGCCCACCAUUAAGAAACAUGUUGCUGGGCAGUGAGAGAGUCUUUAUAAUUAGUUAUACAAACUCUACAAUAACUAUCAAUUUGAAUUUUUGAGCAGCUACAAGAUGAUUUUGAUGCUUAAGUUACUUUUUGGUUUGAUCCAGAGCUCCUUGUGACCAGUCAUCAAGCAUUUCAUUCUCCUUUACAAAUUACAAGGAAGCUUCCUGUGGGAUCCAUUACCUAAUGCUUAUUACAUAGUUGCCAGUUAGAACAAAACACAGAAAAAAAUAAUUCCUACCAUUGCCAAAAUGCCCACUUUUUACACCAAAGGGUUGAAACUUAAAUCUAGUCAAAGUAACUUCAGCACUGGAUUUCUUAGCUGUAAGAUUGAUGGCAGGAGCAGAUGGACAGGCAUAAGCAUCACCGAUGCCGGCAGACAGUGCAUGGAAUGUCUCUUUGACAGAAUGGAAUACAGUGGUAGAGUCUGUUGUAGAAAAAAAAAA